UGCACCGAUUUUUCGACCGGCUUUCCAGCCUCGCCGUGACGUCACGCGCCGUAUCCUGAGCUCUCCCCUGAGCGCGUGGUCCUGGUCGCGAGCACAUGGAAGUGAGGUCGAGAUUUGUGUCUGUGAGACGCGCGACUGAUCAUCAGAAAAAAAGGAAUAUAAAAGCAAUAAAGCAGCAACGAAAACAGGCUGAACAGCGCGGGUGGGUGGUGUUGCAGACCCCCAUGCAGUCCCAAGUUUUACUGCAGCUGUCGCACUCAUAGACGACUGAAGAUACUGAUCUGAAUGGGAAGGAUGCAAAGGUGGAAGCAGUCAGUGAUGGAUUCGGUUUCACUCCAUUAAGGAGUCUUAAUGGAAAAACACACACACACACACACACACACACACACACAGAUAUAUAUAUAUAUAUAUAUAUAUAUACACACAUAAACAUACUGUAUGGUUUUUAAUACCAUCUACUUCCCCCUUUCUUUGUGAAGUGAGAUACACCCUGAAUGGGCCCCUGUGGUGAUCUGCGUUGCGGUUGGGAAGUACCUGGUGUUACAACUGUCAUGCUGGUCUGCUUAAAGGGACAGUGCUGAUCACUUUCACAUGCAGUACGUUCUCUUUUCAGGGCUUUUCAGUCUCCUUAACAGGUGACUGAAACAUUCAUAUUGUUUGAUGUUUGAGUUUUUGCCUUAAUAGUGAGUUUAGGAGUCAAAGAGGAUCUUUUCUGUAUUAUAGAUUGCAGUUUCUAAAUGAUCAGGAUGUCAAACUGGCUCACUUGAAAUGCAGAAAGAGUUGAAGGAGACUUCUGAGACUAAUGUUGACAUUUGUUUAAUAUAUCUUUUAAUAAAACCAUAAAUUGAAUAGGUGUAAAGGUGUAAUUUCUAUAAAGUCCAUCUUCAUGCUCUUGAAAAAAGAAAUUCUACUAUAAAUUCUAAGUCUACUCAAAUUUUCACAUCUUGACAAAUAUAUAAUUGCGGGGGUCAUGAGACUUUUGGACCAGAAUACAUUGAGAAUUUGUGAUAUUGUGUAAAUGAAGUCAAACGACAAAGAGAUGAAAGAUGAAUUGAAUUUGUUUUGCAAUAGUUUCUUAAGCCACAUUUUUACUUGCAUAUUCUGUGUGCAUGUUGUAUGUAUGUUCUGGCACUUAACACUUGAAUGUUAUGAAAAAGCUGCACACUUUUCUGAAUAAAUAUUUCACUCUGGCAGAUGUU